rnacentral:rRNA from 1 species
AACGAACGCUGGCGGCAGGCUUAACACAUGCAAGUCGAGCGCGCCCUUCGGGGUGAGCGGCGGACGGGUUAGUAACGCGUGGGAACGUGCCCUUUAGUAAGGAAUAGUCACUGGAAACGGUGGGUAAUACCUUAUACGCCCUUCGGGGGAAAGAUUUAUCGCUAAAGGAUCGGCCCGCGUUAGAUUAGAUAGUUGGUGGGGUAAUGGCCUACCAAGUCUACGAUCUAUAGCUGGUUUUAGAGGAUGAUCAGCAACACUGGGACUGAGACACGGCCCAGACUCCUACGGGAGGCAGCAGUGGGGAAUCUUAGACAAUGGGCGAAAGCCUGAUCUAGCCAUGCCGCGUGAGUGAUGAAGGUCCUAGGAUCGUAAAGCUCUUUCGCCAGGGAUGAUAAUGACAGUACCUGGUAAAGAAACCCCGGCUAACUCCGUGCCAGCAGCCGCGGUAAUACGGAGGGGGUUAGCGUUGUUCGGAAUUACUGGGCGUAAAGCGCGCGUAGGCGGAUCAGCAAGUUGGGGGUGAAAUCCCGGGGCUCAACCCCGGAACUGCCUCCAAAACUGUUGGUCUAGAGUUCGAGAGAGGUGAGUGGAACUCCGAGUGUAGAGGUGAAAUUCGUAGAUAUUCGGAAGAACACCAGUGGCGAAGGCGGCUCACUGGCUCGAUACUGACGCUGAGGUGCGAAAGUGUGGGGAGCAAACAGG